AACGAACGCUGGCGGCAUGCCUAACACAUGCAAGUCGAACGAGACCUUCGGGUCUAGUGGCGCACGGGUGCGUAACGCGUGGGAACCUGCCCUUAGGUUCGGAAUAACUCCCCGAAAGGGGUGCUAAUACCGGAUAAUGUCUUCGGACCAAAGAUUUAUCGCCUUUGGAUGGGCCCGCGUUGGAUUAGCUAGUUGGUAGGGUAAAAGCCUACCAAGGCGACGAUCCAUAGCUGGUCUGAGAGGAUGAUCAGCCACACUGGGACUGAGACACGGCCCAGACUCCUACGGGAGGCAGCAGUGGGGAAUAUUGGACAAUGGGCGACAGCCUGAUCCAGCAAUGCCGCGUGAGUGAUGAAGGCCUUAGGGUUGUAAAGCUCUUUUACCCGGGAUGAUAAUGACAGUACCGGGAGAAUAAGCCCCGGCUAACUCCGUG
rnacentral:rRNA from 1 species